GGGGGCAUGGUUUAUUGGUCAGCACAUUUGCCUCGAACCUCCAGGGUUGGGGGUUCAAUUCCCCCCUCCGCCC